rnacentral:rRNA from 1 species
UACAGAGGGUGCAAGCGUUGUUCGGAAUUACUGGGCGUAAAGGGCGCGUAGGCGGCCUCCUAAGUCGAACGUGAAAUCCCCGGGCUCAACCCGGGAACUGCGUCCGAUACUGGAAGGCUUGAAUCCGGGAGAGGGAUGCGGAAUUCCAGGUGUAGCGGUGAAAUGCGUAGAGAUCAGGAGGAACACCGAUGGCGAAGGCAGGUCUCUGGGCUGACACUGACGCUCAUGCGCGAAAGCGUGGGGAGCAGACAGG